ACUACUGUAAAUGCUCAUGAUCUUCCCAAUUGCCUGGGCUAAAUAUGCAUCCUCCUCCUCCUCAUUAGUAUCAUCAUCAUUACUAUAACCAUUACCACCACCACUAUUAUCAUAAUUAUUAUCGGUAUCUCCAUCAUAACCAUCACCAUUAUUAUCAUCUGUAUUAUUGACACCUCCAUCAUCACCAUUACCGCCGCUGCCAUAAUAAUCAUCAUUAUUAUUGUUAAAAUUAUAUCGACAAUAAAGAAAAGAAAUAUGAGAAGAAAAGUAAAAAUGAGA
rnacentral:lncRNA from 1 species